rnacentral:rRNA from 1 species
UACGUAGGGUCCGAGCGUUGUCCGGAAUUAUUGGGCGUAAAGAGCUUGUAGGCGGUUUGUCGCGUCUGCUGUGAAAAAUCCGGGGCUCAACCCCGGACUUGCAGUGGGUACGGGCAGACUAGAGUGUGGUAGGGGAGACUGGAAUUCCUGGUGUAGCGGUGAAAUGCGCAGAUAUCAGGAGGAACAUCAGUGGCGAAAGCG